GGUAAGCGGCACAUUUCAUCAUUUGUUCUCAUAAUUACUAAGUAUUAACAAGAAAGCUUUAUGAAUGGGUAAGUGGUGAACAUAAAUUCCUCUUGAAAGCUUUAAUAUGUCCUGAUUUAACAAUUUACAAAAUGAAUAAUUAAUACGUGAUGUCCGAAUUUAUUCAAAUAAUAAUCUCUUCUGAAUAAGAGCUUGAACCAUAAUCCCUUAUUGUCCUUUGUAUUUUUCAGUGAUUUUGCCAGUCUUCAUCGCCACCAUUGUCGUCUUCCUGGUGCUAGUAUGUGCUCUACUCUUUGUUAUCAGGGCUCAGAGGACUCAACACAACCUGCUUAAGAGUCAGGGUCAGGUAACGCCAGCACAGUUGCUAUGAGCCAACAUCUACCAAGUGGAAAAGGAGAUGAGGAACUCAACAAAACAAAUGAGGGCAUUUAUGCUAACACCACUCAGCUGAAGAAAAGGUGUCACCCAACUGCAACUACCUCUGAGCCAAUCAGCACCAACUUACCAAGCUCAGGCCAAAACAACACAG